rnacentral:rRNA from 1 species
UGCCACAGCAAUAUCACCUUGCAGCCUAAGACUGGUUGCCCACUGAAGCUAAGCAGGGUUGAGCCUGGUCUCUACCUGGAUGGGAGACCUCCUGGGAAAACUAGGUUGCUGUUGGAA